rnacentral:rRNA from 1 species
UAAACUGAAGAGUUUGAUCAUGGCUCAGAUUGAACGCUGGCGGCAGGCCUAACACAUGCAAGUCGAGCGGUAACAGAUCUAGCUUGCUAGAUGCUGACGAGCGGCGGACGGGUGAGUAAUGCAUAGGAAUCUGCCCGGUAGUGGGGGAUAACCUGGGGAAACCCAGGCUAAUACCGCAUACGUCCUACGGGAGAAAGGGGGCUCCGGCUCCCG